GGGGUUAGAUUUCUCUUUCUACCAUGUGGGACCAGGUAUCAAACUCAGUGGUUCGACUCUGGUGGCAAGCACUGAGCCAGCUGGCCUGCCCUCACUGUGCCUUUGUGAUCGAUGAAGCCUGCUGCUUUGUUCUGUCGCCAGGCAUCACCCACACAUUUAUGCCCGGCACACAUUGUGUUCUCUUCCCUGCAAGAUCACGGCACUCAUGACCAACCACGAAUUGAAUCUGUCCAGGGUCAGGUGUGGGUUCAGCUGCCCCAUAACCCUAGAAUGGAGUUCCUUCCUGCCAGCAGGGUGAAGAGGAAGUGAUUGGAAUAGACACUGUCUUUCCAGAAGGUUCCAAGGGUCUUAGUGCUGGAGACAGAAGAACAGUGAAGGAUACACCAGCCUUCCUUCGUGCUGCUGCAGCCCUCAGAUGGAGAUGUAGAACUCUGCACCAUGCCUGCCUGGAUGCUGCCAUGUUCCUGCCUUGAUGAUAAUGGACUGAACCUCGGAACCUAGUGUCCUUCAGUGAUUCGGGGUGAACUUCAUCUCAGAUGGACUGAUCCUUUAAUUUCUCCAAAGCAGCCCACUUCUGUGGUCAACGUGAGUGGCCGAUGAGCCAUUGUAUUUGAGUGUCUCUCCUUCCCACGGGGAAGUCUAAGCUUUCAUUGGUUUUCAUGCUCUGAUCAGCUCCAGGAUGGGGAGAUGAGAGCUGACUGUUGAAAGUGGCAGUGGUUUGAUCUGCGUGUGUUGGCACAUGCCCGUCCUGCAGCACUUGGGAGGCAGCAGCAGGAGAUUCCGGAGUUCAAGGCUUGUAGUUCCGCUGCUCUUCUAGAGGACCGGACAUCACUGAUGUGAGAAAGUUCACAGUGGCCUGUAACUCCAGCCACAGUGGGUAUGAUGCCCUCUUCUGGUCUCCUCAGGCAACUUUGCACAUGUGACAUACACACACACACACAUAUAAAUGAGAAUAAUAAAAACAAAUCUUUAUUUAAAAAAC